CAGACCAAGUCUUCGAAGAAGUCUGAAGACUUGCUGGCAAUGGUGAAAAAGCUGCAGAAAGAGGGAAGCCUGGAGCCACAGAUAGAAGACCUGAUUAAUCGGAUUAAUGAGCUUCAGCAAGCAAAGAAGAAAUCCAGUGAAGAAUUGGGAGAAGCCCAAGGUCUCUGGGAG